rnacentral:pre_miRNA from 1 species
GAGACAUGUUAUGGAGCAAGACUUGCUUCAGUGGGAUUUUGGUGCUCACUGAGUCUGCCCCUUGAGCAUAUCACU